UCUAAACAAAUUGUUGAUUUUUUGCAUUGGUAUAUUUUCUUUCAUGCAUUAACAUGUUCUUUCAAGAUCCAUAUCUUUAUAAUAUAUUAUUACAGCUGUAUACAGUAGCGGACACAAUACCUGUGUUAGACACUCUAGAGAGAAUUGCCAUCAUUGGGACCGAUGCCUCCGCUGACUAAACUCAUCAUUUCCCGCUCCUUAUUACUCAGAAUCCCACCCCAUACAACUACAAUCCCGUCGAUGCGCCUGCGGAUAGAUCUUCACGUUUUCAACUCUGUGCCGGAAUACCAGUCGGUUGUCGUGCAUCUCUUUAACGGAACGGAACAUUCCGACGUCGACGUCAAGCAAUUCCGGAACCGGCCGCCAACACGGCAGUACCGAGUGUCGUUCGGCAACGAAACGUUCACGAUCAUCUGCAUUUACAGUAGACAAAAAAUCGUUCCAUGUAACUUCAUUGAGUGCCUUUUACACUGAAAUUCCCGACGCCCUAUGAUGCUUUGCAUCAAUACUUAUCUU